UACAAGCAACGAAUUAAAACUUUCAACAACGGAUCUCUUGGUUCUGGCAUCGAUGAAGAACGCAGCGAAAUGCGAUAAGUAGUGUGAAUUGCAGAAUUCAGUGAAUCAUCGAAUCUUUGAACGCACAUUGCGCCCCUUGGUAUCCCGAGGGGCAUGCCUGUUCGAGCGUCAUUUCACCAUUCAAGCCUGGCUUGGUGUUGGGCGACGUCCCCUUUGGGGACGCGCUUCGAAACGCUCGGCGGCGUGGCACCGGCUUUAAGCGUAGCAGAAUCUUUCGCUUUGAAAGUCGGGGCCCCGUCUGCCGGAAGACCUACUCAAGGUUGACCUCGGAUCAGGUAGGGAUACCCGCUGAACUUAAGCAUAUCAAUAAGC
rnacentral:rRNA from 1 species